CGAGUGAAGCGGGAACAGCUCAAAUUUGAAAUCUGGCCCUCGGGUCCGAGUUGUAAUUUGUAGAGGAUGCUUUUGGUGCGGUGCCUUCCGAGUUCCCUGGAACGGGACGCCUUAGAGGGUGAGAGCCCCGUACGGUUGGACGCCUAGCCUCUGUAAAGCUCCUUCGACGAGUCGAGUAGUUUGGGAAUGCUGCUCUAAAUGGGAGGUAUAUUUCUUCUAAAGCUAAAUACUGGCCAGAGACCGAUAGCGCACAAGUAGAGUGAUCGAAAGAUGAAAAGCACUUUGAAAAGAGGGUUAAAUAGCACGUGAAAUUGUUGAAAGGGAAGCGUUUAUCACCAGACUUUUUCUAGGGGGAUCAUCCGGUGUUCUCACCGGUGCACUUCCCCUAGUUGAGGCCAGCAUCGGUUUUCGGAGGGGGAUAAAAGUUUCGGGAAUGUGACUCCCCCGGGAGUGUUAUAGCCCGUUACAUAAUACCCUUCUGGGGACCGAGGUUCGCGCAUCUGCAAGGAUGCUGGCAUAAUGGUGAUCAACGACCCGUCUUGAAACACGGACCAAGGAGUCGAACAUUUAUGCGAGUGUUUGGGUGUCAAACCCUCACGCGUAAUGAAAGUGAACGGAGGUGAGAGCCCUUACGGGUGCAUCAUCGACCGAUCCUGAUGUCUUCGGAUGGAUUUGAGUAAGAGCAUAACUGUUCGGACCCGAAAGAUGGUGAACUAUGCGUGGAUAGGGUGAAGCCAGGAGAAAUCCUGGUGGAGGCUCGCAGCGGUUCUGACGUGCAAAUCGAUCGUCAAAUCUGCGCAUGGGGGCGAAAGACUAAUC
rnacentral:rRNA from 1 species